GGUGGGGGGCCUCCCUCCCCUCGUGCUGCCCUCCUCUGUCUUCCUCCGGGAAGCACUCUCUUCGCAGCCCUGCCUCAGCCGUGCUGGCAGAGUCCCAGCCCACUCUCCUGCCUCCCUGCCCAGGACUGCUGUGUGGGCACAGUGAUUGCGCCCUCUGGACACCCUCUCCUUCCUCUUCCCAGGUGUGGCUCCGCUGGUGUUGGGCGUGUGGGCACCCCAGCACCCUGGGGGCCGUGUCCCGGGGGACGGAGCAGGUUCACGGACUCCCCUCCCCACGUGUGUGAGCAAGGAGGCUUGCUGUGCCCUGGGGGGGAUGGCUCUUAUCCUGGGUCUGACCGAUGUGAUAACAUUUCUCUGUGGGAGCAUCCGAUUACGCUUCCCCUUGAUAUUUAAAGAAAGCACUUCUCAAGGACUUGGCCUGAUAAAGACAGAUCUCACUUACUCCUCGGUAAGUCUUGAUCGUGUGAAGCAGUUGUGAUUUUGUGCAGGUGAAGUUGAGGUUUAGAGAAAAGUCUGGACUGCUCUGACUCAGAUGACUCGAGUCUGUGCAUUCAGUGCAGACGGGCCUUCCGGAGCUUUCCGGGGGACAUGCGGUUGGGUGGUGAGUCUCCUCUUGGUAAAUUGACCGUCAGAGGACAGGAGGGCACAGCCAUGUCACUGACAUGGUCAGAGCCCGUGUGGACCCCACCCCCAGGGGAGGGGGUUCCCCUCGACCUGGGCCUCCAGCUGCCCACAGUGUGACCCACCAGGAGCUCCUGUGUCCCUUCCCCUCCUCUUCCUCCCUCCUCACAAAACCCCUUUCUGGAGUUUGUUCCUUACUAGCAGGUCCUAAAUAAGGAAGUAUUUUCCCAGCUCUACAAACGUGCACUUACGGCCUGGGCAUCAGCCAAGGUUACGUGUGUUCCUUGUUCUGAGCCAGCGUUCAGCAGCCUGCGCCCUUGCAGAGGGAGCCUGCCUGGACAGGCUCCUGGAUGUGUCCCACCCCGAGCCACACGCACUCCCUGCGGGUUGGGGCUGGACAAGGCUCCUUCCCUCCCCUU
rnacentral:lncRNA from 1 species